rnacentral:rRNA from 1 species
CGUAGGUGGCAAGCGUUGUCCGGAUUUACUGGGCGUAAAGAGCGCGCAGGCGGUCGUUCAAGUCGCGUGUGAAAGCCCCCGGCUCAACUGGGGAGGGUCACGCGAUACUGAUCGACUCGAAGGCAGGAGAGGGUAGUGGAAUUCCCGGUGUAGUGGUGAAAUGCGUAGAUAUCGGGAGGAACACCAGUGGCGAAGGCGACUACCUGGCCUGUUCUUGACGCUGAGGCGCGAAAGCUAGGGGAGCAAACGGGAUUAGAUACCCCGGUAGUCCUAGCCGUAAACGAUGAAUACUAGGUUUUGGGCCCGUCAACGGUCCAGAGCCGCAGCUAACGCGUUAAGUAUUCCGCCUGGGGAGUACGGUCGCAAGACUG